rnacentral:rRNA from 1 species
GAUGAACGCUGGCGGCGUGCCUAAUACAUGCAAGUCGAGCGAACAGACCCGGCGCUUGCUCCUCUGACGUUAGCGGCGGACGGGUGUGUAACACGUGGAUAACCUACCUAUAUGACUGGGAUAAUUUCGGGACACCGGAGCUAACCCCGGAGAAUAUAUUGAACCGCAUUGUUCAAUAGUGAAAGACGGUUUUGCUGUCACUUAUAGAUGGAUCCGCGCCGCAUUAGCUGGUUGGUAAGUUAACGGCUUACCACGGCAACGAUGCGUAGCCGACCGGAGAGAGGGGUAGGCCACACUGGAGGGGGGACACGGACCAGACUACUGCGGGAGGCAGCAGUAGGGAACCGGCCGCAAUGGGCGAGAGCCUGACAGAGCAACGCGGCGUGAGUUAUGAAGGUCUUCGGAUCGGAAAGCUGUGUUAUUAGGGAAGAACAAAUGUGUAAUGAACUGUGCACGUCUUGACGGUACCUGAUCAAAAAGCCACGGCUAACUACGUG